rnacentral:rRNA from 1 species
GGAGGAAAGCAGGGGAUCGCAAGACCUUGCGCUCAUUGUGCGGCCGAUGCCUGAUUAGCUAGUUGGUGAGGUAAAGGCUUACCUAGGCGACGAUCAGUAGCUGGUCUGAGAGGACGACCAGCCACACUGGGACUGAGACACGGCCCAGACUCCUACGGGAGGCAGCAGUGGAGAAUUUUGGACAAUGGGGGAAACCCUGAUCCAGCCAUGCCGCGUGAGUGAAGAAGGCCUUCGGGUUGUAAAGCUCUUUCAGCCGGAACGAAACGGUCACGGCUAAUACCUGUGACUACUGACGGUACCGGAAGAAGAAGCACCGGCUAACUACGUGCCAGCAGCCGCGGUAAUACGUAGGGUGCGAGCGUUAAUCGGAAUUACUGGGCGUAAAGCGUGCGCAGGCGGUUUUGUAAGUCAGAAGUGAAAUCCCCGGGCUUAACCAGGGAACUGCGUUUAAAAUAGAAAGCUAGAAGGGC